UACGGAGGGUGCAAACGUUGCUCGGAAUCAUUGGGCGUAAAGCGCACGUAGGCGGCUCGUUAAGUCGGAUGUGAAAGCCCUCGGCUCAACCGAGGAAGUGCAUACGAAACUGGCGAGCUUGAAUAUGGAAGAGGGUCGCGGAAUUCCCGGUGUAGAGGUGAAAUUCGUAGAUAUCGGGAGGAACACCAGUGGCGAAGGCGGCGACCUGGGCCAAUAUUGACGCUGAGGUGCGAAAGCGUGGGGAGCAAACAGG
rnacentral:rRNA from 1 species